GAACACACACUCUGCUUGAAUUUCUCAGUGCCAUUCUCAUCAGAGGUUAUAUUCACCAGAUCACUGACACAAUCCCAUCCCAUCUUUUCCUUAUUUAAUGUACUGUGUGUGUGAUAUACCUAACAUAUGACAACACACAGCUAGGGCAGCUUGUGCAUACCCAAUUUACUUGUGUCUGGCUGAGUUACUCACCAAUCCUAAAUUAAAAGGGAACUUCAUGUUCCACUAGCAUUUAAGAAUUGUGAAACGAGCUGAAUCUUGCUACAUACAUCACUUAGUUUCAGAAAUCAGCCCAGCCCGUUUGUUCAUUUACCUGGAGUUAAAACAAGGCUCUGACUUGCUGCUUACAGAGAGCCGAUAAGAACGAUUAAUAUUUAACAUUCCCCAGCUUGCUUACGUGAAAUGGCUCAAAGGAGAUACCCAUGAAAAUGUUGCAGCUUAAUUCAGCAACGCUGGAAAUGGAUGCAUAUUUUCCCCACCAGAAGGCAUAUUGCACAGCACUGCAGUAUGUGUUCCCCCUGCACCGAUGACAAUGUUGCAUCAGUGCAUACCUCAGCUCAGCGCCUUGCUGAGAGCCCAAGCACUGCAGUUACAGUCAAUUUCACUCCAGAGGCACGAAGAACAGUGCAGUGUCCAUAAAACUCAACAGCCAAAGCAGCACAAACCCCCAUAGACUGAGCCUGCCCACAGAUGUUGGAGGUGCACUGAGUUUUUCUAGAGAACAGACACCAUCAAAUGCCACUAUGGCAGAUGAAGCCCUCUCACAGGAGUUAACAACAGAGCAGAGUUGACAAGUCCUGCAGAUGUAACAGCUGCAGUAAUGAUCAAAUCAAAGAGAAGUCUUGCUCUUGAUGCAUUUCAGACUGAGUAAUCUUUAACAAACUCUGGAGAAAGGGUCCAUUCUGACCCCGAAGCAGCACACUGAGUCUGUUCUUCUGGCAGAGCAGCCACAAAUGCCACCUUUGUACAGUGCCAUGCAGCUUAAAGGCAGCUGCAGAUGAUACUGCCUGAAAGUAAGCUGAAAAAAACGUCAGCUAAAAUCAGGAGAAAAAAACCUGCUCUGUACUGGGGAUAAAACCAGGCUUUGUACAUGUGGCAUGGUUUUUCAUUUCCAGUCAUAAUAAGCUUCCUCAGAAGAAAAGCAAGUUUUGAAGAGUAUUCUAGGAGCAGCAGAUUAUGCUUCUCAAUCUCUGAAUCCCUGAAUAAGCCAUGAAAGUGAGUGUUGAAAUUACUGCAAAUUGCAGAGUUCCAGUCUCCAUUUCAACAUAAGACUAACUACUUGGUCUUUAUAUAAACUCAAACCUAUCUAUCUUCUGUUUUCAAAAGUUUUAUCCAUUGUUAUUACUGAAACAACUAUUGCAUGUGUUGUAUUGAUUUCCAGUACAACAGGGAAGUUACAAGAGUGAAACAUGUACUUUUAUUUCGCUACUAGUGGAAAGCUUUAGCUUUUAAAAUAAAAGCCAAAAAAUUCAA